AGUGCUAGGAGGCCCAGUGGUGGCAUUCGCUUCCCAGGGCCUAGACUGGGUCUGGGGACAGAUGCACCCUUGGCUUCCACGUGCCACAAAGCAGAGGCUGCAAAAGACGCCCAGGAAGAGAGAUCACUCUUUCUACAAUUACACCACUACUAAGUGCCGGAAUGGAAAUGCAGAGAUUGGAAGGAUCCAAACCCAGGUUCCCACACAGGACGGAAGUUCCCGCCCUCCGGCCAGAACCGAUGGGAAUUUGACACAGGCGAAGCGCAUGCGUGGCAAGCUCCGGGCUCUUCCUGAGGAUGUGCCAGAGACCCGUUUGCUGCACACUGUUUGAGAGAAGCCUAGAAACCCUCAGGGCGCCACCCCCCACCCGGUCUGGACCCAGUCUAAGGGUCCCUGUCCUAAGCAUUUGUCCCCCUGAGCACCAGACCCCUGGUCUCUCCACACCAUUGCAGAGAGGACAGCGCCACCCACCCAGCGCCUCCUGCAGCAGACAGAGGCCCGGCUGGGACACCCCAAACUUCCUCCGCUCCUCCACCCAGCUCCUAUCAGUAACUGAGAGACCAGCGACUUUGAGGCUGUGCCCCACUCAAAGGUGGGGAGCAGCUGCACACCAGGAACAAAAAAGAAGAUUGACUGUGGAAUGCUGCAGAUGAGAGACUCCUUCACCUUAUCAAGCUGCAGCUUCAAAAACAAGUAAAUAAAAUCCGGAGAAGACACAGCGCCUCCUCUCUUUACUAAACACUGAUCAAAAUCCUCUAUCCUGGAAAAGAUUCGGCAGCUCGGCCCCGCGGGCCUGGUGUCUAGGGUGGCAGGCGUGCAGCCCCAGGCAGCCGGUGCGCGUCAGCAGCUCUGAAGUCCUCUGUCUCAAGCGUCAUCAGCUGCACCACCUUAGCUGCCUGGAUGACCUGAGCGGAUUCACGACAUUGGCGUGCUGUGGUCAUUUUGGCUUUGGGGAGCAGUCAGCAGCCAGAUCCGGUGAACAGGGUGGACGGGGCACAGUGCGGUGUUUUCCUGAGCUGCCUCUCCGCUGGAUGGCACCGGGCAGCCGCAGAAAGUGGCCUUUUCAGCUUCCUGAUCUUUCUGCCCUGGAACAAAACCAUCCAUGCCUGUCCCUCCGGAAGUCCACACCCACCCCAGCCUCGCCGUAGCUCUGCCGAUUUUCUGACUGUGUUGGUCACAGCACGACACCCACAACCUGAAGGAGGAGAGCUCUCCUGAUGGUGAAGGCAGCCCGGGGCCCUGAGCUGCCCAGGGGUGAAGUCCCAGGUGUGCCCCAGGCCUCCUACAGAUGACUCCAGUGAUAGCAGGACCCCGAGGACAGUCGGCCCCCACGCCCACAGCGCCAGCCUUUUGGAUGCACCCACCACAGGUGGAAACUGCUGAUCACUGCAGCCUGUUCGUCCACCCUCUCCAAACCUCAUGGCAUAAGAACCAUCUCCAUAGCCCACACCGCAUAUCAACAGUCCCACGCCAUCCCACGAUGGCGCAGCUCACACAGGAGGACGUGCGCAGGGGGCAUGCAGAUACUGCUUCUAGGAGGCACCCAUGCACAAGGGCUGUGAGAUCUAAGCAGGCACCUGCAGCUAACACUCCUCCCUGGAUGCCGAGGGAUGUGCAGAACCCCUGUCUCUGCUAGAGCUGUGGCCGUCUAUAGUGACUCUCUCACUCUUGUAACUAAGAAGUUAAAAUGUGAUAUCCUUUUUUGUGUGAAAUAUAAUUCAAGAAAAAUUAAAAUGUUUCCAUGUCAAAAGAGCACACUCAACCCCCUUCAUAUAUUUAAUGAAUAUAUAUUACUCAAAAAUAAAU